rnacentral:misc_RNA from 1 species
GAUGAAGAACGCAGCGAAAUGCGAUAAGUAAUGUGAAUUGCAGAAUUCAGUGAAUCAUCGAAUCUUUGAACGCACAUUGCGCCCCCUGGUAUUCCGGGGGGCAUGCCUGUCCGAGCGUCAUUACAACCCUCAAGCUCAGCUUGGUGUUGGGCCCCGCCGCCCCGGCGGGCCCUAAAGUCAGUGGCGGUGCCGUCCGGCUCCGAGCGUAGUAAUUCUUCUCGCUCUGGAGGUCCGGUCGUGUGCUCGCCAGCAACCCCCAUUUUUUUUCAGGUUGACCUCGGAUCAGGUAGGGAUACCCGCUGAACUUAAGCAUAUCAAUAAGCGGAGGA